rnacentral:rRNA from 1 species
GCGUCUUAAACAUGCAAGUCGAACGAACCUUCGGGUUAGUGGCGGACGGGUGAGUAACGCGUGGGAAUCUGCCCUCAGGAGGGGGAUAACGGCUGGAAACGGCCGCUAAUACCCCAUAUGCCGAGAGGUGAAAUGAAUUUCGCCUGAGGAUGAGCCCGCGUCUGAUUAGCUAGUUGGUGAGGUAAGAGCUCACCAAGGCAUCGAUCAGUAGCUGGUCUGAGAGGAUGAUCAGCCACACUGGGACUGAGACACGGCCCAGACUCCUACGGGAGGCAGCAGUGGGGAAUUUUCCGCAAUGGGCGAAAGCCUGACGGAGCAACGCCGCGUGAGGGAUGAAGGCCUCUGGGCUGUAAACCUCUUUUCUCAAGGAAGAAGAUCUGACGGUACUUGAGGAAUAAGCCACGGCUAAUUCCGUGCCAGCAGCCGCGGUAAUACGGGAGUGGCAAGCGUUAUCCGGAAUUAUUGGGCGUAAAGCGUCCGCAGGCGGCCCUUCAAGUCUGCUGUUAAAAAGUGGAGCUUAACUCCAUCAUGGCAGUGGAAACUGUUGGGCUUGAGUGUGGUAGGGGCAGAGGGAAUUCCCGGUGUAGCGGUGAAAUGCGUAGAUAUCGGGAAGAACACCAGUGGCGAAGGCGCUCUGCUGGGCCAUAACUGACGCUCAUGGACGAAAGCCAGGGGAGCGAAAGGGAUUAGAUACCCCUGUAGUCCUGGCCGUAAACGAUGAACACUAGGUGUCGGGGGAAUCGACCCCCUCGGUGUCGUAGCCAACGCGUUAAGUGUUCCGCCUGGGGAGUACGCACGCAAGUGUGAAACUCAAAGGAAUUGACGGGGGCCCGCACAAGCGGUGGAGUAUGUGGUUUAAUUCGAUGCAACGCGAAGAACCUUACCAGGGUUUGACAUCCUGCGAACCUCUUGGAAACGAGAGGGUGCCUUCGGGAACGCAGUGACAGGUGGUGCAUGGCUGUCGUCAGCUCGUGUCGUGAGAUGUUGGGUUAAGUCCCGCAACGAGCGCAACCCACGUCUUUAGUUGCCAGCAUUUAGUUGGGCACUCUAGAGAGACCGCCGGUGAUAAACCGGAGGAAGGUGUGGAUGACGUCAAGUCAUCAUGCCCCUUACAUCCUGGGCUACACACGUACUACAAUGCUACGGACAAAGAGCAGCAAGUUCGCGAGGACAAGCAAAUCUCAUAAACCGUGGCUCAGUUCAGAUCGUAGGCUGCAACUCGCCUACGUGAAGGAGGAAUCGCUAGUAAUCGCAGGUCAGCAUACUGCGGUGAAUACGUUCCCGGGCCUUGUACACACCGCCCGUCACACCAUGGAAGUUGGCCACGCCCGAAGCCGUUACUCCAACCCUCGGGAGGAGGACGUCGAAGGUGGGG